CAGAUACUGAGGGUGGGGGUUCUGGCUGCGCUGGACUGGACCUUACAAGGAAGGGACAGAGGGCCUAGGAGGAGAUUCAGGAGCUGGAGUAAGGUUCAGUCAAAGCAGGACUGUGUCAGUAUCCACUGUAUUCCAAACACCAAGGACCUCACUUGUAUUGUAAUCAUUGUUUUCAAAAGAAAAGAUUAAAGUCUCAUAAUUUUUUUGUAUUCUUAGCCGAGCUUCCGUCAUUGUCUAUCCCUGGAACUUACCAAGAGAUCACCCACCUGGGACAUUCUCUGAUGCGUUUAACGGGUCUGAAAUCUCUCGAUCUCUCACGCAACUCCUUGGUUAGCCUGGAGGGUAUUCAGUACCUGACUGCCCUGGAGAGUCUCAGUCUCUACCACAGCUGCAUCUCCUCGCUGGCAGAAGUGUUUCGGCCCCACUCCCUGACCGAGCUUGUGGACGUGGACUUGCGGCUGAACCCCGUGGUGAAGGCCGAGUCUGACUACCGCCAUUUUGUUGUGCACCUGCUCCCCAGGCUCCGGCGGCCGGGUAGGCGUCAGGCGGGCCUCGCUCGUGCUCGCCCCCGCGGGAGUGGUAGU
rnacentral:lncRNA from 1 species